rnacentral:ncRNA from 1 species
AUCAGAAGAAGUAGAAACAUGCAGUCUACACACUUGCCGGAUUCAUUAAAUCUUCGGAUUUCGAGGCGAGUCUAAAAAAAGCUUAACCGCUAAGAGAUGUGGGAAAGUCACCCCACCUUCUGAU